rnacentral:rRNA from 1 species
UACGGAGGGUGCGAGCGUUAAUCGGAAUUACUGGGCGUAAAGCGUGCGCAGGCGGCUUUGCAAGACAGAUGUGAAAUCCCCGGGCUUAACCUGGGAACUGCAUUUGUGACUGCAUGGCUGGAGUGCGGCAGAGGGGGAUGGAAUUCCGCGUGUAGCAGUGAAAUGCGUAGAUAUCUGGAAGAACACCGGUGGCGCAAGCGGAUUGCUGGGCCAUAACUGACACUGAGGAACGAAAGCUAGGGGAGCGAAUGGG